rnacentral:rRNA from 1 species
AUGGUGCAGCACGUCACCGGCGUCCAGGCCGAGCCGGGCACCGACGACGGCAGCGUCCUGCACGCCUCGUUCGACGCGUCCUCCGCCGCGGCGCUGCUGGAAUGCCACCCGUUCGACGGCGCGCCGCGGAUGCCGGCCGACGUGGACGCGGCGGAGCUCCAUCGCCACCACCAACAGCAGCAGCAGCCGUGCUACCCGACGCUGGACUCGUGGAGCGUCAUGUACGAGAGCAGCCAGCUGCUGUAG